rnacentral:rRNA from 1 species
CCUACGGGUGGCAGCAGUGGGGAAUAUUGCACAAUGGGGGAAAGCCUGAUGCAGCAACGCCGCGUGAGUGAAGAAGGAUUUCGGAAUGUAAAGCUCUAUUAGCAGGGAAGAGAAUGACGGUACCUGACUAAGAACCCCCGGCCAACUACGUACCAGCAGCCGACGGAAUACGGAGGGGGCAAGCUUUAUCCGGAUUGACUGGGUGAAAAGGGAGCGUAGGCGGUUGGCCAAGUCUGAGGUGAAAGCCCGGGGCUCAACCCCGGAAGGGCUUUGGAAACUGGACGGCUUGAGUGCAGGAGAGGCAGGUGGAAGUCCGUGUGUAGCGGUGAAAUGCGUAGAUAUCAGGAGGAACACCGGUGGCGAAGGCGGCCGUCUGGACUGUAACUGACGCUGAGGCACGAAAGCGUGGGGAUCGAACAGGAUUAGAUACCCCGGUAGUC